rnacentral:piRNA from 1 species
UUUUUAACCUGUGUGCAUUUGAUGUC